UUUAUAGUAGGUGUUUAGUAGGGUUUAUAGUAGGUGUUUAGUAGGGUUUAUAGUAGGUGUUCAGUAGGGUUUAUAGUAGGUGUUUAGUAGGGUUUAUAGUAGGUGUUUAGUAGGGUUUAUAGUAGGUGUUCAGUAGGGUUUAUAGUAGGUAUUCAGUAGGGUUUAUAGUAGGUGUUUAGUGGGGUUUAUAGUAGGUGUUCAGUAGGGUUUAUAGUAGGUGUUUAGUGGGGUUUAUAGUAGGUGUUCAGUAGGGUUUAUAGUAGGUGUUUAGUAGGGUUUAUAGUAGGUGUUCAGUAGGGUUUAUAGUAG
ensembl:lncRNA